AAGUUAAUUCUAGGCUUUUGUUUGUUUCCUUUGUAAAAUUGCCAUGGGACUAAGGAAAUAUAGUAGUGCUUAAUUUUAAUAGUUCCAUCAUUGUAGAUUAGCUGGGUAUUAAUUGUGUUAAUGGUGAUCAUACUGAAUUCAUUUGGUAUUUAUUGAGAGACCACCUGUGCACCCAUAUGGUUUCCAUCAUUAUUUAGGAGUAGUUAAUGGACCCAUUAGGAGUUAGCAGAAAGAUGUGGGCUGGCAAUACUUCCCGAGAGUGGUCGAAACAUUCUGCUGAUAUCCAUUGCGUUUUGAGGAUUUUCCAAGGAGCUAUUUGCUUCCCACCAAUUUUCCUUCUCUCUAAGUUCCACAUAAUCUCAUCUUAGCUUUCAAAUGCUCCUGGAAAAAUGAAUUCAUGUUUCUUGGCCUCUCACAAACCUAGGGGGGCAACCUUUAGCCUUCUGAUCUUGCAAAAUGUCCUUUAACAUGGUCCACACAGCUGAGGCUGCACCUGAAAUGCAAAAGCAUCUCCAAGUCUUACCUCCUGCUUUAUUCAGUAGCAAAGCACUGAAAGGACUGGAAACAAAGCAAGUUGAAGCUCUUUUCAAAGGUGUUGAAAACCCUUGCAGCAUCUCUUUUAAGCUAAGAUGAGCAGACAGUAGAUCUUCCUAGAAAUCCACACUGAAGCUGCUUUGUCCUGUAUGGAAAAGCAUUCCAUCACAUCUUCCACCUACAUGUGUUUUUAGUGGAAAUCCAUUACUUCCUUUUGAUGUGCUUUUGGGGUGUAAACAACAAUAAUGAAAACAAGACUCUGAAGGCAGUUUCCCUGUGUGAAGCAAGGCCUACCCAAGUGACAGAGAAGCCAAAGAGAGCAUUUUGAGAUUAUUCCAGUUCCAAAUGGAAAUUCAGCAAAUGAGAAGUGUUUGCAUACGUGCUGAACAUCGUGUGAAAGCUGGAUGCUGUAGGGGCUGUCUCUAAGGCCACAUAGCUGUUCCCAAACAGUAGCUCUGUGUUUAGAGGUCAGUGCUGCACUUAGCAAGCUCCUGUGCAGGGAUCUGUAUGAAAGAGGCUGUAUGCCUUCCAUACUUGCAGCACUGGUACUGGGGCACCCAAAGGUGACAGGAGAAAGCUGCACACCUGCGGGGUGGUCAGGAUGCUCCGUCUCUGCAGGAAGAUGCAGAAGAGGAACUGAACUGGUUGGGAUAGGUCUACACCACCAGUUAACAACAGAUUUAGGCAUGUUGUGUCCAGCUCUCUGUGUGUGUUCCACCCACACUGCUCAGUCACACAGCAUAGGAAAGAUUUCCCCCAGCUUUAGAUAUCUCCUGUGUCUAAAUACAUUUGAGUAACCAAUGUAAGCCUCUGUGCAGACACGACACUUGAGCUAGCUGGCUAGCGUGGCCUUGUUUAUAGCUAUUAGUGGGCAGAGAGGAGUGCUGCUAAAGCAUGACUCUUCUGACCUGCUUUAGAGGGUCCUUCUUAGAAGCAGAUAGUAACCCUAGAAAUGCUUGUUCUUCUCCUUUGAUUAUACACCACAAUUAGCUCAGCAGCAGAUACCUGAGGUUUAAUGGAACCUGAGGUUUAAUGAACCCCAACUGCACUGAGGACACUCAGACACAGAAAGAUAUUGCACAUGGUCAGGGUAUAAAGCUCUUCAAUGAAAGGUCAUAGACCUUUGGAGACAGACACUGGGUGCAGCCAGGUUCACUCCUGCCCUGUAUGAGGGAUCAGGCUGAGGCCAGCAUGUACUAUGGCUGGUCCAGCCACAGACCGUGAUGCUGGGCUAAGCACUCCUCUUUAUGUGGCUUGUGCAUUAACAUGGCAAGGAUGGAAAGAUCUAAUCCUGAGACUGGGUGUGAGCCUACACUUUCCUGACAAUCUUCAAGGUCUUUUCCAACCUAGCUGAUUCUCUGAUUCUGUGACAGCACAGAAUAUUCCUGAGCCACGUGGAGCCAGUGACACACAGCUUCACAGAGGGGUUUGCCUACAAAUGGGGUCUAGCUUCGAGCUGGUGAUAUUUAGUACUGAAAUAGGGGGUGAUCUCUGUCACAAAGCUUGGGAAACAGAAGACAUGAAUAUGUGAGUCACACGUGCAACACGGAUCUGAGAAUCUAUUGACACAAGAACUAGUUUUAAAACAUGGAGUAUCCAAAUAUUACAGAAUGGAGAAGUCAUACUGUGCCAUAGCAAAUUCCAGCCACUGGUGUUUAACAAGUGCCUUUUUAGCUCCGUAAUUGUACCUUCCCAGUUCUUGCAAACAAGAAUAAACAAGAAAAAAAGAGAUGAGUGUGUGUGCAUGUAUAUUUCAACUGGGAAAGCAUCUUCUUUUGAAUUUGCCUAUUGGAUACACAAGAAGCUUUUUGGUUUCAGAUGACAGUUGUGUCUCAUUCAUAAAAUUCUGGACACAAUUCCAGUGCCCUGACUACCAGAGCCUUUCAGCGCGGGAUGUGGCACCAUGACUGCAGUGAGAGCUUCUCAGGCAUGCGCUGCCCCGCAGCUUGCCCUUGGAUGAAUCCUUCAAAGAAUAGGACUGAAGAGUAACAAAAUUCCACUUUCAAGCUGUUCAGAAGACAUGGUGCUAACAAACAGCUCCCGAAAGGCGAGAUCUUGCAAUCUGCUGUUGUGGAGCAGCUGAAAAGCCGGUUCUCAAGUCCCGGGCAUCUCAGUGUGUGAAGCACAGGCAGGGAAGCACAAGAAAUCCCACAGAAGGUGUUCCUUCGAACGUCUGGAAAAUGUCAAACUGCCUGCCACUCUGUGCUGAGGCAAAUCUCAGCUCCAACAGAAGGCUUUGUCAACACAGUGCCAUAUCAUUAGCUCGAGGUUUAUACACUUCAGUUGACACCUCUCCCUUGUCCUACAGAUGUUGCAUUACAUUUAGGAUUAAGCCUCUAACAAUACAGCUGUUUGAACACAUGUGCAUUUUCCACUCAACAAACCGCAAGGAUAUGGCAGCAGGGUUACAACGUUUGGAUCCUAGGGCUAGAAUGAGAGAAGCAGAGAAAGGUGUUUCAUUGGGAAAUCUCUGUAGUUUCUCCUGUAGUUUCUCUCUUUCUGAUUUUAUUCGCUGACUGUACUUAACUCAGGCCAUAGGGAAGGUAAAAUCUGAUUGAUAUUGCAAGUGACAACUGAGGCCUUGAAAUUAUUUCCUCAGUUCAUCUUCAAGAGGUGUUAAGCCCACAGCAUUUUGCUAGUUCUAGAGAAGUAGAGCCAUUUUGACUUUUAUUUGCAGAAAUCCACUUUAUUCCAAUUCCUGUUAAUCCUGUUACUUGUGAAUAAAUUCCUGUUACUUGUGAAUAAAGUAGAACCUGCCCCAAUAAAUGGGUUUAAAGAAGAAUUAUCAUAUAUGCUCAUAAGUGAAAGAUUUUAUAAUGUUCUUUCCACUUUUGCCACUACAGAAUAGGAGAAGCAAUGGCUAGGUUUUACUGGGAGUCUCACAAAAUCAUUGAAUGCCCUUUCUGCUAUCAAUAAAGUACAGAAAUUGGGGAGACUCACAUGGGUGAUUUAAUAAAAUAAAGUGAGCCCCCAAAUGGGCUUCUUAAGGAA